rnacentral:rRNA from 1 species
UACGUAGGGUGCAAGCGUUGUCCGGAAUUAUUGGGCGUAAAGAGCUCGUAGGCGGUCUGUCGCGUCUGGUGUGAAAACUCGGGGCUUAACCCCGGGCCUGCAUCGGGUACGGGCAGACUAGAGUGCGGUAGGGGAGACUGGAAUUCCUGGUGUAGCGGUGAAAUGCGCAGAUAUCAGGAGGAACACCGGUGGCGAAGGCGGGUCUCUGGGCCGUAACUGACGCUGAGGAGCGAAAGCAUGGGGGAGCGAACAGG